GAUGAACGCUGGCGGCGUGCCUAACACAUGCAAGUCGAACGAAGCACCUUACCUGAUUCUCCGGAUGAAAGUCUGGUGACUGAGUGGCGGACGGGUGAGUAACGCGUGGGUAACCUGCCCUGCACAGGGGGAUAAUAGCUGGAAACGGCUGCUAAUACCGUAUAAGUGCACGAGGAGACAUCUUCUUGUGUGAAAAACUCCGGUGGUACAGGAUGGGUGCGCAUCGGAUUAGCUGGUUGGCAGGGUAACGGCCUACCAAGGCAACGAUCAGUAGCCGGUCUGAGAGAAUGAACGGGCACAUUUGAACGGAAACACAGUCCGAACUCCUACGGAAGGCAGCAGUGGGAAAUAUUGCACAAUGGUGGAAACCCAGAUGCAGCAACACAGCGUGAGUGGAGAAGUAUUUCGGUAUGUAAAGCUCUAUCAGCAAGGAAGAUAAUGACGGUAACUGACUAAGAAGCGCCGGCUAAAUACGUGCCAGCCGCCGCCGUAA
rnacentral:rRNA from 1 species